rnacentral:rRNA from 1 species
GACGAACGCUGGCGGCGUCGCCGUAAGUACAUGCAAGUCGAACGGGGUAAGAUGUCUUCGGUAUUUUACGUUAGUGGCGAACGGGGUGAGUAACGCGUGAGAAACCUGCCUUUCAGUGGGGGGACAACAGUUGGAAACGACUGCUAAUACCGCAUAACAUCCAAUAGGGGCAUCCCUUAUGGAUCAAAGCUUAAUGUGCUGAAAGAUGGUCUCGCGUCUGAUUAGCUGGUUGGCGGGGGUAACGGCCCACCAAGGCGACGAUCAGUAGCCGGUCUGAGAGGAUGAACGGCCACAUUGGGACUGAGACACGGCCCAG